rnacentral:rRNA from 1 species
GAUCAUAGCUCAGGAUAAACGCUGGCGGCGCACAUAAGACAUGCAAGUCGAACGGACUUAAUCGAAAUAUUUAUAUUUUGAAGCGGUUAGUGGCGGACUGGUGAGUAACGCGUAAGGAACCUGCCUAUUAGAGGGGAAUAACAGUGAGAAAUCAUUGCUAAUACCGCAUAUGCCAUAGAUAUCACAUGAUAACAGUGGGAAAGGAGGCGAAUCCGCUAAUAGAUGGCCUUGCG